rnacentral:rRNA from 1 species
AAGCAUAUCAAUAAGCGGAGGAAAAAGAAACCAACAGGGAUUGCCUCAGUAACGGCGAGUGAAGCGGCAACAGCUCAAAUUUGAAAUCUGGCCCCCCGGCCCGAGUUGUAAUUUGCAGAGGAUGCUUCUGGCGACGCGCCUUCCGAGUUCCCUGGAACGGGACGCCACAGAGGGUGAGAGCCCCGUCCGGUCGUGCGCCUAGCCUGUGUGAAGCUCCUUCGACGAGUCGAGUAGUUUGGGAAUGCUGCUCUAAAUGGGAGGUAUACGUCUUCUAAAGCUAAAUACCGGCCAGAGACCGAUAGCGCACAAGUAGAGUGAUCGAAAGAUGAAAAGCACUUUGAAAAGAGGGUUAAAUAGUACGUGAAAUUGCUGAAAGGGAAGCGCUUAUGACCAGACUUGGGCCCGGUGAAUCACCCAGCGUUCUCGCUGGUGCACUUUGCCGGCCCAGGCCAGCAUCAGUUCGCGCCGGGGGAUAAAGGCUUCGGGAAUGUAGCUCCCUCGGGAGUGUUAUAGACCGUUGCGCAAUACCCUGGGGCGGACUGAGGUACGCGUUCUGCAAGGAUGCUGGCGUAAUGGUCAUCAGUGACCCGUCUUGAAACACGGACCAAGGAGUCGUCUUUGUAUGCGAGUGUUCGGGUGUCAAACCCCUACGCGUAAUGAAAGUGAACGUAGGAGAGAGCUUCGGCGCAUCUCCGACCGAUCCUGAUGUUCUCGGAUGGAUUUGAGUAAGAGCAUACAGGGCCGGACCCGAAAGAAGGUGAACUAUGCCUGUAUAGGGUGAAGCCAGAGGAAACUCUGGUGGAGGCUCGCAGCGGUUCUGACGUGCAAAUCGAUCGUCAAAUAUGGGCAUGGGGGGCGAAAGACUAAUCGAACCUUCUAGUAGCUGGUUUCCGCCGAAGU